CCCACCUAGUCUCCUGCAGUGUACUACCAGAAACUAGGUUUCAUUUCAGGCAAGAAAAUAGUAACAUAUACACACAAGAAGAAUGCAGGAACCAAACUGUCAAAAAGGGCUACAGCAACAACAUCACACAAAUGGCAUUCCUGAAAGUGUUCCUGUAAUGACCCUUUGAGGACCAAUACAGAGAUGUUGUGAGAACCUGGAA